GACGAACGCUGGCGGCGCGCCUAACACAUGCAAGUCGAACGAGCGAGCGAGAGCUUGCUUUCUUGAUCGAGUGGCGAACGGGUGAGUAACGCGUGAGUAACCUGCCCCAAAGUGGGGGAUAACAUCUGGAAACGACUGCUAAUACCGCAUAGGCCCACCGUGCCGCAGGGGACAGAUGGAAAGUGAGCAAGCCGCUUUGAGAUGUCCUCGCGUCCGAUUAGCUAGGUGGUGAGGUGACGUCCCACCGAGGCGACGAUCGGCCGCCGGGCGGGGGUGUCGAGCGGCAACAUUGGGACUGAGACACGGACCAGACUCCUACGGGAGGCAGCAGGGAGGAAUAUUGCACGAGGGGAGGAACCAUGAUGCAGCGCCGCGGGGGGGAGGAAGAAGGUCUUCGGAUAGUCAGCUCCUGUUGUUGAGGAAGAGAAAGUCGCUGCCAAACAAGGAGGAGACGGCUAACAACAUG
rnacentral:rRNA from 1 species